GGGGAUUUAGCUCAGUGGUAGAGCACUUGCCUAGCAAGCGCAAGUCCCUG
rfam:Rattus norvegicus chromosome 4, whole genome shotgun sequence.